CAGUGUGACUCACACAGGGACGCCUGCCUUUGAAGUUCGCGUUACGCCACCUCGCUUUUACCGAAGGCCUACGCUAGGACCUGCUUUCACGGACGGAAAGAAAGCCAAAGAGGAUUUCCGCUGCUGCACAAAAGGCGAAAGAUUAUUGCCUGCACGUCAGUGAACCGAGGACAUUGCAGCCUUCAGCCGUCCGACCAUCAGUCACUACGGCCGCCCCCAACGGCCAGCUGGACAGAGCAGGAAGGAGACGGCGGCAGCCCGGCCUCUGUCACCACAGCCAGUGGUGCCCCCAAGGAGACGCAGGCCGGGGAAGAGCAGGACAGCGGCCCUGGAGAGCCGAGGGGCAUGUCAAAGGAGUGAUCUCAGUGAGCCCAGACCGUGCGCCUCCCAGACACAGGAAGCGCUAAGCUCCUUAGCGUGAGGCGUCUGGUUUUCCUUAAUUAACAGUCAUCCUUUGAUGUUCUGACUGCCUGGUCUUUGUUGCAAAAACCCCUAUAUCCUGGCUCCUCCCCUGCCUCUCGGGAGCCGCCCCUCAGCGAGACAUGAGAGGCCUCUUCCCCGGCUGGGGGUCCUCACGAGUCCACCGAAUGAAACGUAACUCUCA